UACGUAGGGUGCAAGCGUUGUCCGGAUUUAUUGGGCGUAAAGAGCUCGUAGGCGGUCUGUCGCGUCGGAUGUGAAAACCCAGGGCUCAACCCUGGGCCUGCAUUCGAUACGGGCAGACUAGAGUACGGCAGGGGAGACUGGAAUUCCUGGUGUAGCGGUGAAAUGCGCAGAUAUCAGGAGGAACACCGGUGGCGAAGGCGGGUCUCUGGGCCGAAACUGACGCUGAGACGCGAAAGCGUGGGGAGCGAACAGG
rnacentral:rRNA from 1 species